GACGAACGCUGGCGGCGUGCCUAAUACAUGCAAGUUGAACGCUUGAUUUUCACCGAAGCUUGCUUCACCGAAAAUCAAGAGUAGCGAACGGGUGAGUAACGCGUGGGUAACCUACCUAUCAGCGGGGGAUAACUAUUGGAAACGAUAGCUAAUACCGCAUAACAAUGUUGAAUGCAUAUUCGACAUUUGAAAGUACCAACUGGUACACUGAGAGAUGGACCCGCGUUGUAUUAGCUAGUUGGUAGUGUAAUGGACUACCAAGGCGAUGAUACAUAGCCGACCUGAGAGGGUGAGUCGGACCGACAUUGGGACUGAGACACGGCCCAAACUCCUACGGGAGGCAGCAGUAGGGAAUCUUCGGCAAAUGGACGAAAGUCUGACCGAGCAACGCCGCGUGAGUGAAGAAGGUUUUCGGAUCGUAAAACUCUGUUGUUAGAGAAGAACGUUGCAUAGAGUGGAAAAUUAUGCAAGUGACGGUAUCUAACCAGAAAGGGACGGCUAACUACGUG
rnacentral:rRNA from 1 species